GGCAGCGUGGUCUAGUGGAAAGAGCAUUGGCUGGGAGUCAGAGGACCUGAGUUCUAAUCUCAUCUCUGCCA
rnacentral:tRNA from 1 species